GAUUGGUUGACACGUGAGCCAAGCCAUCCAAUCAGCCUAAGCGCGGUCUUUCUGUGGGUUCUGCAAAGGUUUACGAGUUGCGUUUUUGGCGGCAUGGGCAACUGUCAUUGCACUUCGGCAAUUUGGAGCGAAAAUAUUACGAUGUCUGCAUGUUGGGAAGGUCCCGCACCUGCACUACUCUGGUUCCACCAUUCCAAGUUGUACGCAAGAAAUGUCUCGAUCCCCUUAAAACAGCGAA